UAGGGAAUCUUCCACAAUGGGCGGAAAGCCUGAUGGAGCAACGCCGCGUGUGUGAAGAAGGUUUUCGGAUCGUAAAACUCUGUUGGUAGAGAAGAACGUUGGUGAGAGUGGAAAGCUCAUCAAGUGACGGUAACUACCCAGAAAGGGACGGCUAACUACGUGCCAG
rnacentral:rRNA from 1 species